UACGUAGGGGGCAAGCGUUGUCCGGAUUUAUUGGGCGUAAAGAGCGUGUAGGCGGCCAUGCAGGUCAGCUGUGAAAACUCGAGGCUCAACCUCGAGACGUCGGUUGAAACCGUAUGGCUAGAGUCCGGAAGAGGAGAGUGGAAUUCCCGGUGUAGCGGUGAAAUGCGCAGAUAUCGGGAAGAACACCCGUGGCGAAGGCGGCUCUCUGGGACGGUACUGACGCUGAGACGCGAAAGCGUGGGGAGCCAACAGG
rnacentral:rRNA from 1 species